rnacentral:tRNA from 1 species
AAUUGAUUAGUUUUAUAGAAACCUUUAUUUUGAAAAUAAAAAAUGUUAAUUAAUUAUUAACAUCAAUUU